UUCUUCCUUUUUUUUUCAGUGUCUCUGUCCUUGCCGUGGUUUCUCCUGCAGAUACAGGAACUGUCCAGCAGAACAAGAAGGGGUGAAACAGUUCUGCACCUGGGUGCCUGAGCUCCCUCUUUGGGGUGUGGAGGAACUGGCGAAGCAGUCCCUGAGCUAGCUCUUCCAGUAUCAGCACAUCAGUAUUCAGGAGUCCAACUGCUGCUGUUUGCAAAUCUGUGUAGAUGAAUGCAGUCCAAAACGUACAAGUUGGACCUAAACAUUAAACUCUGUUUACUGUAGAAUUAAAGUCAAGCCUAAAACUACUGAUCGGUCACCUUCCUGAAGCACUGGAACUCACUCUUCAGAAGCUGACCCCAGGGACACACUCCAGGCUCUUCAGAAGUGAUAGCCAAAGCCAUGGGAAGAGGAGAAGCAUGAAAAUGGAAGAGCAAUGUGAAAAGCGAGAGAUAGGUGGGUAAAGUGGGUGAUAAAAGGGAUA